rnacentral:rRNA from 1 species
UAGGGAAUCUUCGGCAAUGGGGGGAACCCUGACCGAGCAACGCCGCGUGAGUGAAGAAGGUUUUCGGAUCGUAAAGCUCUGUUGUUAAGGAAGAACGAGUGUGAGAAUGGAAAGUUCAUGCUGUGACGGUACUUAACCAGAAAGGGACGGCUAACUACGUGCCAGCAGCCGCGGUAAUACGUAGGUCCCGAGCGUUGUCCGGAUUUAUUGGGCGUAAAGCGAGCGCAGGCGGUUAGAAAAGUCUGAAGUGAAAGGCAGUGGCUCAACCAUUGUAGGCUUUGGAAACUGUUUAACUUGAGUGCAGGAGGGGAGAGUGGAAUUCCAUUUGUAACGGUGAAAUGCGUAGAUAUAUGGAGGAACACCGGUGGCGAAAGCGGCUCUCUGGUCUGUAACAGACGCUGAGGCUCGAAAGCGUGGGGAGCGAACAGG